GGCUUAGAGUUUGAUCAUGGCUCAGGAUGAACGCUAGCUACAGGCUUAACACAUGCAAGUCGAGGGGCAGCGGGGUUGAAGCUUGCUUCAACCGCCGGCGACCGGCGCACGGGUGAGUAACACGUAUCCAACCUGCCGAUAACUCUGGGAUAGCCUUUCGAAAGAAAGAUUAAUACCGGAUGGCAUAGUUUUCCCGCAUGGAAUAACUAUUAAAGAAUUUCGGUUAUCGAUGGGGAUGCGUUCCAUUAGGCAGUUGGCGGGGUAACGGCCCACCAAACCGACGAUGGAUAGGGGUUCUGAGAGGAAGGUCCCCCACAUUGGAACUGAGACACGGUCCCAACUCCCUACGGGAGGCAGCAGUGAGGAAUAUUGGUCAAUGGACGAGAGUCUGAACCCAGCCAAGUAGCGUGAAGGAUGACUGCCCUAUGGGUUGUAAACUUCUUUUAUACGGGAAUAAAGUUAGCCACGUGUGGUUUUUUGCAUGUACCGUAUGAAUAAGGAUCGGCUAACUCCGUGCCAGCAGCCGCGGUAAUACGGAGGAUCCGAGCGUUAUCCGGAUUUAUUGGGUUUAGAGGGAGCGUAGGCGGGGUAUUAAGUCAGUUGUGAAAGUUUGCGGCUCAACCGUAAAAUUGCAGUUGAUACUGGUAUCCUUGAGUGCAGCAGAGGUGGGCGGAAUUCGUGGUGUAGCGGUGAAAUGCUUAGAUAUCACGAAGAACUCCGAUUGCGAAGCAGCUCACUGGAGUGUAACUGACGCUGAUGCUCGAAAGUGUGGGUAUCAAACAGGAUUAGAUACCCUGGUAGUCACACAGUAANGAUGAAUACUCCGCUGUNGCGAUACAUGUCAGCGGNAAGCNAAAGCAUAGUAUUCA
rnacentral:rRNA from 1 species